GUCGAGAAUAAUUCACAAUGGGGGCAACCCUGAUGGUGCAACGCCGCGUGGAGGAUGAAGGUCUUCGGAUUGUAAACUCCUGUCAUCCGGGAGCAAGACCUGGCCGUGAAUAGCGGACAGGGUUGAUAGUACCGGAAGAGGAAGGGACGGCUAACUUCGUGCCAGCAGCCGCGGUAAUACGAAGGUCCCGAGCGUUGUUCGGAAUCACUGGGCGUAAAGGGAGCGUAGGCGGCGCGGUAAGUCAGAUGUGAAAUCCUAGGGCUCAACCCUGGAACUGCAUCCGAUACUGCUGUGCUUGAGCAAUGGAGAGGUAGCCGGAAUUCUCGGUGUAGCAGUGAAAUGCGUAGAUAUCGAGAGGAACACUCGUGGCGAAAGCGGGCUACUGGACAUUUGCUGACGCUGAGGCUCGAAGGCCGGGGGAGCGAAAGGGAUUAGAAACCCGUGUAGUCC
rnacentral:rRNA from 1 species